rnacentral:tRNA from 1 species
AUUUAGAUAGAUUAAAAAAAUCAUGUCAUUGAAGAUGAUAAAUUAACUACUGUUUCUAAAUA